rnacentral:misc_RNA from 1 species
CUCAAUAAGUACAAGGGUGUAAUUGAGCUUUAAGCCAAAUAAAUUACCCUACCAAAGAAUCAUGAGGUUCCCAUUGAAUGGAAAAGGGAAAAAAUUUUUAAAAAAAAAAUUUGUGUAGGAACUGAUCCUAUGUCUUCUUCACUUUGCCCUGCCUUAAUACAAUCUCACAUAGAAAAUACAACACAAAAAUUUGUAUGCGAAAAUCAUAGUCAUACUAGCACUGAUUUUGAUGCAUCCAGAUAAUUCAGUCUACAGGUUCCCAGAAGGAAUUCUGGGAGCUCUUCUUCAGUUUCACCCUGUAUCAAAAAUGCCAUUUCUAUCACCAAAUUGGUCAGGUAUCCAAGAACAAGGCUGACCACCCCUCUGGCAACUGUGGAAGAUCCAACAUCCACUUCAAGCUCUAGGUAGUUUUUCCCGCGAAAAUAAUGUACUUCUAACGCUUGCCCCACCAAGCAAGCUUUCUUGCCAACACUCUGCUUCACAAUCCAUGAUCCCUUGGAAAUAUAAGGUAUCAGUUUAAAUCUUGAAUUCCUAUAGGCAUCAUCACCAUUAACGAAGUUCUGUAGCAAGGGUGUUUCCUCCAGAGGAGUUUUUAGCAUGUAGUACAAUGCCAGGGUAUACAUGGUUGAACCAGGAACAUUUAUAUUCACAAUAAAGAAGAAUUCCGGUCGAUCUUGUGCAGCGUAAUUCUGAACAAUACUAUCAGGACGGCUACCAAGAUCAUUUUCUCGUUGGUUGGAUCUCAACCAAUCUGCUCCAAUCAUUUCCAUCAAAGUACCUUUUGCCUUGACCUUUUCAUGGUCCUUCAAGUAAUUUUUUCCACGUAUCAAAAAUGUAGAAGGAUCAGCAGCAGCCCAACUGCAAGGUAAAGUACAGUUUGGAUCUUUCGGAAGAGUAGCUCCAUAGGAGCAUACUAAACUAUCUACCUUAGCCGAUUCCUGUAAGUCCAUGUAACCCUUCUUUUGAGCCGUAAGGUCUUGCAACUUCUUUUUCACUAUGCCUGCAGCAGAUGAUAAUCUGGGGGGGAGUAUACUCGCUGUGUGUAUUUCUGGACUCAUUUCCGAAGGCCAUUCGUUUUCCAGGUCCAAAUCCAUCAUUUCAUUGGCAGCAGGGACAUCAAAGAAUUCAUCAGUGGAAAAUGAAGCAGAAAAACAAACUACAAGUUUAACUGGCCUGACCAGUGCCACUGA